rnacentral:rRNA from 1 species
UGGGGAAUCUUGGACAAUGGGGGCAACCCUGAUCCAGCCAUGCCGCGUGAGUGAUGAAGGCCUUAGGGUCGUAAAGCUCUUUCGCCUGUGAAGAUAAUGACGGUAGCAGGUAAAGAAACCCCGGCUAACUCCGUGCCAGCAGCCGCGGUAAUACGGAGGGGGCUAGCGUUGUUCGGAAUUACUGGGCGUAAAGGGCGUGUAGGCGGCCAAUUAAGUCAGAGGUGAAAUCCCCGAGCUCAACUUGGGAACUGCCUUUGAUACUGGUUGGCUAGAGUUCGGGAGAGGGUAGUGGAAUUCCCAGUGUAGAGGUGAAAUUCGUAGAUAUUGGGAAGAACACCAGUGGCGAAGGCGGCUACCUGGACCGAUACUGACGCUGAGGCGCGAAAGCGUGGGGAGCAAACAGGAUUAGAUACCCUGGUAGUCCACGCCGUAAACGAUGUCUGCUAGACGUCGGGGGGCGCAGCCCUUCGGUGUCGCAGCUAACGCAUUAAGCAGACCGCCUGGGGAGUACGGUC